rnacentral:rRNA from 1 species
GACAGAGGUGCCAAGCGUUAGGCGGAAUCACUGGGCUUAAAGCGUGUGUAGGUGGAUUUGUAAGUACCUUGUGAAAUCCCAUGGCUCAACCAUGGAACUGCUCGGUAUACUGCGGAAUCUUGAGCACUUAGGGGCUACCGGAACAAAUGGUGGAGCGGUGAAAUGCGUAGAUAUCAUUGGAACGCCAUGGUGAAAACAGGUAGCUGGGAGUGUGCUGACACUGAGACACGAAAGCCAGGGAGGCGAACGGG